rnacentral:lncRNA from 1 species
UUUAGUUCCAGCCCACUGCCUGCGUUGGAAGUCCGAGAGGAAACGAACACAGGGAGUUCUCCGGGAGGCUGACUUACACUUCCUCACGGAUGCGGGAGACUUGGGUUUUCCAAGCUAAAGGUGACAUUUCAUCGUCUCCCAACAUUGUACCUGAUGAUUUGGUGUUUGCAAAGCUGAGCACCGAAUUUCAUGUGUGUGCACUACAAAUUGGAUCUGCAGGUCCAGCCACGUCAGACCCCAUCAGCCACUCUAAUACUGUCUUCAUCCUCUUUUCAUGGAAAUCCUGUGAGUCCUUCAAAACCCAGCAAGCAAGGCCACUCAUCUUCCCUCACUCCCCUGGCGGAAGCAGAGCUCCCUCUUUAGAAGACUUGGUCAUUUGCACAAACCUCCAUUCCAGGACGUGUAAUGGAAUGACAUGUGGUUGUCUGUCUUCUCCCACUGGGCUCUGAACCCUCAUCAUGAUUAACAGGCACAGUUUCUUCAUCGUUGUCAAUGGUACACUGUUUGCACUGGAUCAGCAUCUGGUGACUGAGUUGCAGGCUGUUAAAAGUAAUGCUGUAGAAGAAUUUAGGACACGGAUUCUGUGGCAUCCAGUUGGAAAUGU